UGACGCAACUCGAAAGAAUAAACACAUUUUAGAUGAACGAUUGCGAUGAAUGGACGUCGGCGUUUCAAUCGGCGUGUUUUGUUCCGUUUAAAGUUAAAAUUGUGGGUAAAUUAUUUUCCAAUUGUGAUGGAACUUUGACAUAAUGGGUGGAUAUUGGAAACGGAUUUUUACAGUGUUCCUCUUGGAAAUAGUUGUUAUUAUAUGUGAUAGUUUCCCAUAUGUUAAGCAGGGUCACUCCGAUGUAACGUUAAGAACAUAUGAACACGAUGAAGGAUACAAGAACACUCAUUCAAAUGAGGGUGACACUUUUAUGCACAUUUUAAAUUUGUAUAAAGUAAUGCCAAACGGUCGCUCUUGUACACAAAUUGAAAGAAUUAAAGACACGAACGUCCUUUCAGAUAUCCAGAAAAGGACGCAAAUCCUACGAAAUGUGAGACGUAAGAGUGUAAAAUCCAUAGCAACUAUUUUAAAAAGAAAGAUUUUACCGGAAAAAAGGGCUACUUUGGACAGUGACACGACGCACAGAGACCUUUCAAACUACGACCUUAUUAACAAUACACAAUUUUAUGUUAGUACAAUAAGUAACAUUGGUAAUCGCGAAAGUUCGAAGCUAUAUUCAAAAAGCUUAUCACAUGCCUUAAAAAAUCCGAAAGCACCUGUGUUAGAAAAUGACAUAUCACAUUCCAAAGACGCAGAAAAACGAAGACGGCGUUCACAUUUACUUGGUUUUGGAAUAAAUAACUUCUUGCGUAACGUCAUAGACAACCCGAGGUCGGAAAUAGUGUAUGGUGCUCAUUCUAAAGCAUGUGAUCCAGUCGACCAAAAUUAUUGUCUAAACGGAGGCAGCUGUAUAAUUGUUGUUCCAUUAAACAUCAAAACAUGCCAAUGCAAGGUAGGCUUCACCGGUCAGAGAUGCCAGAUGUGGAAUCAAGAGUACCUGCUCGCCCUCCUGUCACAAGAGAUCAUCGGCUAGACGCCAUACACCGCUAAUAAGAAAAAUGGUGUACGCAUUUUCGAAUAAAGAAGCAAGGAAAUUUGUGUUUGACGUCAUUAUGUACAUGUGUCUUCGUGAGCAGUGCAACAACAUACGGCAAUCGCCGAGAUGUCCAACAUUUCAUGUAAAACAAGCAGUUCUGCAAUCAAUCAUAGCCGGUCUUUGUUGAGUGAAUGCCCGUGUGUUGCUUAAAUGACAUUAACCAUUUUAUAUAUCGGCGUCAGUACCAACUGAGAUGAAUAUGAAAAUGAGCCCAAGUUUGUUGAUAUUAAUUUUUUAUUGGAUGCAUUUGAAUGCCCGUAAGUAGCGUUACAGCUAUGUCUAUUUGCUUACCAAAUUAAGGUGGAUUGCAUCCCUCGUCUGUCCAUUUCGCACGAUGGGAGAUUGUUUGCGAUAGAUGAUUUAUGAUUCGCAUAUGUCUAUAGAGUUCGUCGUGUACAUGCAGUAUUUUUUAAAGAAAACACUGCGUGUGACAUUGCAAAUAUCUAAGAGCAUCGUUUAAUGUAUACACUCGUUUGGUGUCAAGUGUAUAAAUAUCUCAUAU